UCAUUAGUUUUUUAAUUGAAAGCUUGAAUGAAUGGUUUAAUGAAAAAAUAACUUUCUUUAUUUUAAUAAAAAAAUUUUAUUUUUAAGUUCAAAAGCUUAAAUUUUUAUAAAAGACGAGAAGACCCUAUAGAGUUUUAUUAUUAAAAUUUUAUUAAUUGAGGAAUUUAAUUUAAUAAGAUUUAAAAUAAUUUGAUUGGGGUGAUUAAAAAAUUAAAGAAACUUUUUUAAAAUAAAUACAUUGAUUUAUGAAUUUAUGAUCCAAAAUAUUGAUUAAAAGAAUAAAUUACCUUAGGGAUAACAGCGUUAUUUUCUUUUAGAGUUCAAAUCGAAAAGAAAGAUUGCGACCUCGAUGUUGGAUUAAAGAAAGUUUUAGGUGCAGAAGCUUAAA
rnacentral:rRNA from 1 species